rnacentral:lncRNA from 1 species
GUACACUCAUUUGAGAAAGACAUUAUCGGAGAUUUCGAAAACUACUUCUUCUAAAUUUCUAAUCUUCAUAUUUUAUCUCUCGUUCUUGAUAUAUAUCUAUAUAUAUACACAAGUACCCUUUUCUAAUAAUAAAUGGCCAAUUUUUCGACAGCAAAUGAAACUUACUUUUCGAAUCAGCAGAGUUACGAUGAUUUGAAUGAGGUUGAGCUCUUAGAAUAUAUUGACAGCUGUUCACUACUUGUUAUGUCUUUACUCGAGCAAGACGACGACGAUUCAAAAGUCGAAGAUAUUAUUAUUAAUGGAUCUGAUGAUCAAAGGUUCGAUAUUGUGGAUCAAGAAUAUUCCUGCAGUUCUGAUGAGACUUGCAGUACUUCAUCAGACGAAUAUUCAGAAGAUUCUCCCUUUUCCGACGUAGAGCAAUUAAUGGAAAGCUACUCCACGUCACCAGAUGAUCAUGGAUUUGAAUGGAUGGAUACGGAGAUGAAUUAUUUUAUCGAUAAUAAUCAUUUCACAGACGAGAUCGAAACGGCGAAUAUGGUAAUUGAUUACUCGAAUGUUUGUUACUAUGGGACGAUGCCCGUGGAGGAAGAAGUUGAUUACAUUGAUUUGUGGCAAUAGCUAUUUAUAUUUAGUUACACAAUUUUAUGACUGAAAUUAUCAUUGUAUUUAUUAUCGAAAAAAUAUCAAAUUGAUUAAUAUUCUGCAUAUAAUGAAUGGUCAGUAGGUAUAUCUUCAUCAUGAAGAAUUUGUUUAUUUUCUUGAUUCAGUUGGAAAAUAUUGAGUUUGAUUAUAUAAAUAGAUCAAAUUUAUUUUCUCAAAAUCAUCUUUUAGUGAAUGGAAAAUUAUUAAAUCACUGCAAAUAUUCAAUAACGGACCCAUUAAAAAUAUGAAGGUGCAUUUGGAUGGAGGGAUUUCAAAUUCACAAUAACAAAUUAGUUGGACUUGUUUGGCUUAAGAGAUUUGAUAAGAAAUUUAGUUGUUUUUGGAGCAAUUGAGGUGCAUUUCAAAUGACUCCAAAUUGGAGUCAUUUCAAAUCCCAAAUAUCUCAUCCAAACACACUCCGAAGGAGUUUCAAUGCCAUUAGAUCCAAAAUGUGUCAAUUCAAAUAAAAAAGAUACAUAUUCAACUGAAUAUAUAUUCGGAAUUAUGCAAAUGUAGUGUUGGGAAUGAGUAGGUUUCAUCGGUCAACCUACCCACUUUCGACGACCCACUUUUCAUGGCCGAUUAAUGAUGAGUAAGCGGCCCAUAUAGUCGGCCCGAUAAUUUUACCGACCCAUGAAUAAAUUGGUUGGUCGGUUUUUUAGUUUACUCAAAAGUUGGUUGACCGAUAAUUAUCUGACCAACUGAACUUUUUUAAUAUUAUAAAUAAAUUGUAAUAAUUUAAUAAAAUUAUUGUAAUAAAAUUUUAGGGAAAAACUUAAACUUUUUAAAACUAUAAUAAUAUAUAAAAGAAGUCAAACCUCAAAAUACAAAUUUAUAAACUUCUAAGUACUAUUUUCAUUUUAGAAUUCAUAUUUUCUGUUCUUCUUUAUAUAUUUACUUAUUAUAGAAUUUAGUAAAAAAGCCUCUUAAUUUUAAGGUUGGGUUUUUUGCAACAUAUUUUUUUGGGGAAACAUGCAAUACCCCUCAAAUGAAAAUAUUUUAAGAUAAACUUAAUUGAUUUUAAAGACUUUUUCCAUAACCCAAAUUUCAAUUUGAUUUAGUGAGACCUUCCUAACUAACGUGAUAAGACUAAAGUGUGUUUUAAUUUUUUAACGUGAUGCAAUUUCAUUUCUUUAUAUUUCCGUAUCUCUCUCUUUUGUUUUCUAUCUCUUUCUCUCAUAAUUCCUCUUUUUUUUUUCUUCAGAUUCAUAAACUGCCGCCACCGUCGCUUUCCUUCCUCCAGAUUUACACCGACGCCGUUCCCCUCCUUCUUCCUCUUUUUCACACCACCGUUGUAAUCCGCUCACCCAAGCCACCGACCACAAUCGUCGCCUAGGGUUCUGCCGAUACACUCGUUACGAUUUCAAUUCUCCCCAAAACCAGCUGCCGCCGCCACGGACGAAUUCCGUCACACCUCCGUCACCAAAGCCUAUUUGUGACGGCUUUUCCUCAAUUCAGUGACAAACACCUCCGUCACAAAAGCCCAUAUUUUUGGUAGUAUCCUCCCAACCCUUUCAAUACCCCCAAAAACUCUUGCCUCCGCCUCUUCACCACCAACCCAUACAGGAUUGAUGCAAAUAGAACAGCGCCGACGAGAUUUGAGGAACCCCCGUCGCAAUUAUGAGUAUAGUCUUAUUGGCGUCCCGGUUAUUGAAGAAAUACAGACUAUAAUCAUAUGAGACAUGGUAAAUUUCAAUUGGUAAUAUCUACAAUAUUUAUUGGUAAAUAUUUUUCUCGAAUUAAUUGUCGAACUAGCAAUAAAUCUCGUUAUGGAUCUAAAUUUUCAGUUCUAUUAUUUUUUUGUUAUGAAUGCAUAUAUCGAUUUUCAAUUAUUCUGCAUUUUAUUGAUUUUUGUGAUUUUUUGUUAUUUCAGAUCCUAGAGCAGGAUUGUAUGCACUGACACUCCGUGAUUAUACUUUUUUUGGUUUCAUGUUGUUAUGACUUUCUUUCAUUUAUCUGGGAAUGUAUGGGUGUAGGUACCAUUUUUUUAUGGAUUUUGAACUGUAUAAUACCAUAAUAGUCACGUAUAGUCGCGUAAUUACGCCUGUUAUAUUUUGCAAAUAGUUGUGCUUAGAGUCACGUAUAGUCAUAUAAUGUGUUUAUUGAAUAUUUCACACCAUUGCAUAUUUUUUGCCCACUUAACCGUUUACAGUUUUUUCCCUUUUUUGAUGUUUUCAGCUUUGAGCAGCAUCAGUAACAAUGGCAGUGACUUCAAGUGAUGCAUACAGAUUACAUGAACAAGAUUUUAUGAUAGUCCUAUAUCCCUAUAGUCACGAAGUCAUAUAAAUAGUCACAUAUACAAUUAUAUAGUCAUAUAUAAGCUCUGUAGGUUUUUCUGAUGUACAAUGAUACUGAUGAUUUUUUUUUUGAAGAAAUGCAUAUGAUUGUGUGUGAAUAAAUUGUGGUUGUGGAUUGAAGUUGUUUUAAUUCGUUUAUUAUAAAUAAUUGGUGAUAAUACGAAUAUUACUAUUUUUUGGAUUGAAAAUGUGAAAAAUGGUAAAUAUAAAGAAGAAACGUGACUAGAGAUAAUUAUAAUCAAAUAUAGUCAUAUUCGACGAUAGUUAACGGUAGUCAUAUUCGACGUAGUAAACUUAUCAAAAAAAAUAAGAGAAUUUUUUUUUUAAAUAUUUUUAUAAAACAAAUAUUAAAAAUUAAAAAAAAUUAAAAAAAAGUGAAAAUAAUAAAUGCAGUCAAAAUAAUGUUAAUGUUUAUUUAGGUAAGUGAUAGGUAAUAUUGGAAUAAAUAGUGCUAGGAGGUUAUCAUAAAGGAAGAUUUAAGGGAUGGACAUAUCACCAACGUUGUUAGAACCGGACAGGCUAUGAAAUCGGACAACCAUUUGGAUCAUGAUUUUAUAGUGUCGAACCAGUUCAACCGGGUUUUUGACUUUUUUAAUAUGUCAUUAUUUUAUUAAUUUUUGUGUUAUAAAAAUAUUAUUUUCUUUAUAUUUUUAAUCUUCCAUCUAUUAUUUAACUUUUAUCUACUUCCACACACUUUUUAUUAUAUUUUUUUGUUUAUACUCUAUAUUUUCUCAUUCGUUAUUCUCCAAAAUACUUCGGAACUUAAUUUUUUUCUCAUGAUUUUAAUUCUAUACAACUGUCUUUUUUUAUCCACAUCAUCUUGCAUGAGAUAUUUGAGGAGAUAUUACAACGAAUCUUUGGAAUCAUAUAAUUAUUUGGGUUGCUCAAUAAGCCCAUCAAUUAUUCUUUAGGGGUAAUAUGCCUUACACCCCUCAAAUCAAACCUAAUUAGAUAUGAGUGACAACCUCAAAUAGAAUGUUUUAACUACAUUCCUAUUUCAAAGUAAAAAUUGAUACACAUCUUUUUUUUUCUAUUUAACCCAAAAAUAUCCUUACAACACCUAAUAAAAGUCAGUACUCUUUCUCUCUCUCUCUCUCUCUCUUCCCCUCUAUCUCACGCCGCUCAGCACCCCCCUUCUGACUUUCUCGUUUUCUCCUCCACCCCCCUCCCUCUCUCUCUCUCUCUCUCUCUCUCUCUCUCUCUCUCUCUCUCUCUCUCUCUCUCUCUCUCUCUCUCAUGUCGUCCCCAACCCCCCUCCUCCUUUUUUCUUCUCUUUUUUCUUUUCUUUCUCUUUUAAUAGAUUUGUAUUUAAUAAAUGAUUAAAUUCAAUUAUAGUGGAAUAGUUAUGAAGGCUAUGGCGGUGGUUAUGGCAGGUGUGACGGCUAUGGUGGCGGUGGUUAUGGUAGGUGGCGACGACACGGGGUUGUGCUGGAGGGGUUGUGGUUAUGAUUGGGAUGUUAUUGAAAGCAUAUUUUGAACAAUUAAUUGCAUCUGAUUUUCUUAUCUUUUAAGAUUUUUUUUUGCUUAGUUUGGGUUCAAAUGGCAGAUCUAUGUUUUCUCAAAUGUUGGUAGGCAACGGUCGCGGGGGCUGUGAACGUUGGCUGCUAGGGUUGGCGAUGGCUGGGAGUUGUAGACGGCUAGGGUUAAGUAGUAAAACACGGUACACCGUAGUACACUAUAGUACACCGUAGUAUAAUUCCUCCGUAGUAUGCUAGAGUAUACCGUAGUACACCAUAGUAUACUACUGACAAAUGGAAAAUAUGUAAAUUGAAAAGAAAAAAAUAACAAUUUUUUUUUCAAUAUUAUGUAGAAUAAAAAAAUGUUCUUAUAGUAGUGUAUAAAAUGCUAAAAUGAAUAAUGAAAAAAAAAGAAGAUAAAAAGAUAUUAUGUGAAAAAAAAUUAAAAAAUGUUAAAUGAAGAUAUGAAAUAUUAAAUGCAUAAUAAAUAAAAUGAUAAAUGCAGUUUGGAAUUUACUUAAUGCAUAUUCGAAUUUGUGCGUGGAGGGGUAAUUUUGGAAUGAAUUUUAUAAAAGAUGUAAAUCAAAUAUUUAGUUAAACUUGUCAUUUAGUUCUAAUAAGUUUUGUCAUUAGGAACCUAUAUCUAAGGCCCCUAUUCUUUAUAUUAGGUCACUGCGAAAAAGAGCCCAAAAUACAAUUUAUAUGCAAAUAAUUAAGCUGAUAAGUCAAUCUUAAUAAUUAAAAGGCCACCUCUUAAAUAAACCCUUCUUUUUUCAUAAUUAUAUUGCCACCCUUAAAUAACCAAAACGAUAAAGAAGAGAAGAAAAUAAGGGUGUAAUGAGUUUAUUAUAUUUUUUAGGGGUAUGUCAAUUUACUUUUAGAAUAUAGGUUUAGCUAAAAUAUUAAAUUUAAGUUUGUCUUAUACUAAUUAAGGUUUGGUUUGAGAGGUCUUCAAAUUAUCCCUUAACUUAUCACAUUAAAGUUUUUAUUUUUCAGUUAAAUUCGAAUUAUUUGGUCCGGAUUUAAGGAAAAUGAAUAUAUAAUAUAAUAAUAAUAAGAAGUAUAUAAUGAGAAUAAUUUCUCACGUAUAUUAUUGAUAUAUAAUUAUAGGGGAAAUAUGCAAUAUCCCCUUCAAAUGGAAAAUAUUUUGAACUAAAUUUAACUGACCUUUAGAGACUUUUGCCUACACCCAAGUUUCAUUCUUAAUUAGUGAGACCACCCUUAUCGGAUAUGAUAAGACUAAAAUGCCCUUAUGUGGUUAGGUUUUUAACGUGAUACAAUUUUAUUUUUCUCUUUCACUCCCCCUCUCUCUCUCGUUCCCAAUUUCACGUCGUCUUCUUUUUUUUUUUUCUUUUUUUCUUCCUUCUGCAGAUUUGUAUACUCGCCUGCGCACUCCUUCAUCUUUUUUCACACCACCGCCAUAUAUAGUCCGCUCACCAUAGCCACCGUUGUUCGUGCACUCGUCACCGCCGGAGCCAACAAUACCUUUCAACUGUCGGUCGGCCGAAACCUAAUGCAGGAGGCCCUCCUCCGUACAAGUGGUGGCGGCGGUGCCUCCCCCACCUCGUCGCCACCCUUCGUCGGAUACGUUACAUGGAGAUUUCCCUUUUUCGUUCUCUCUCGAUUUCUCAAUUUUUUUUUUUUUCCAGAUUUGUUCACCACCGCCACCGUAGCCACGUCCCCACUCUCUUUUUCAUUCACUGUCGUUGUCGUCGCCUCCCCCUCCCCCCCUUUCGUUAUUUAGAUUUUCUUCCUUUUUUUUUUCUCUCCAGAUCUGAAACAGCAGCAUAAACGUGACUACUCUAGUUCGAAUAUGACUAUUGUUGAUUAACUCGAUUAGUGAUUUAUUAUUUUCUCGUGUUCGUUGCCUCUCUCGAUUUCUCUCUAUUUACACCAACAUUACCGUCGCCGCUCGUUGCCGUUCAUUUUCACGUAAGGCUCUUUCUCUCUUUUUCGUUAUCUUUCUCGAUUUCUUAGUGUUUUUUUUUUCUUUUUCAGAUUGGUCCACCACCACCGUCGCCGCCUCUCUCACUCUCUUUCCUUCACUACCGCCACCACCGCCGUUGUCGUCGACUUCCCAUGCCUCUCUUUCGUUAUUUUUCUAUCUUUAUUUAUGUAUUUUUUUCAUUUUUUUUUCCAUUCAGAUUUGAACAGCAACUGUAACAUGACUAUAGUCAUAUUCGAAUAUGACUAUAGUCAUAUUUAUGUAUUUUUCGAAUAUGAUUGUAGUCAUAUUGGAAUAUGACUAUUGUUGAAUAUGACUGUAGUCAUAUUCGAAUAUGUUCUAUCUUCUCGUUUUCAAGUUGACUUAUAAUAACUAGGUUCAAAAUUGUUAUUUUUUUAUGUGGAUUUUGAUUGGAUUGUUUUCGUAAACAAUAGAGAAUCUUCGUUGUUUUAUAUAAUUUGGUAAACAUGACUAUACCACACUAUAUAAUCGGAAUUUUUAAGUUGAAAUGUAAAAAAUUGUAAUAUAAUGAAAGAAUAUGUCUACAUAGUCACAUAUAGUCAUAUUCGGAGUUGUAAACCUGUCGAGAAAAAAAAAAUCAAUUUUUUGUUUAAAAAAAAAUGAAAAAAACUAUUUUUAUUUAAAAGUAAAAUUAAAUAAAAAGUGGAUAAAUAAUUCAAAAAUAAUAAAAAAUAAAAAAUAAAAAAAAAAUCAUUUUUUUUAUUUGGUAGCAAUUUUUUAGGAAUUUGGAAGCAGAUUUUUAGGAAUUAGAUUAUUGUUAUGGAAUGAGAAAAAAAAAGGAAUAAUUGAGACUAAUUAUGCUAAUUGACAUAAGGGUAGAACUUGGAAUACAAUUUCUAGGGGUUAUCACAAAGAAAGAUGUAAGGGGUGGACAUAUCACCAUUUAUUAUCUAUAUGAGGGGUUUAUUGCUAAUGACACCAUAGUUAUAUGUAGGAAAUCGUAAUCUGUUACACAAGAUAACUAAAAGAUACACAUGCCAAGAUUAAUACAAGAUAUAUAUCUACAAGAAUAAUAUAAUAAAUAAUAACAAUAAUAUACGGCUAAUACACCCCCGCAGUGGAAACGAUCGAGAAUGGAAAUGAUUUGAAGACUGGAGAAAAACUCGCGAAACAGUUGGGUCAGGAGUCCUUUCGUAAAGAUGUCGGCAAACUGGUAAGCAGAUGGGACAUGGAGAACUCGAACGUGUCUCAAAACAACUUUAUGGCGGACAAAGUGGAUAUAAAAAAUUUCACUAGAGUUUGUGAAUAACUCUUAGUUUGCAAGGGAUGAAUGUAAAUCUGCAAAAUAUGGGGGGAUAUUUUGGUAAUAUAGAAACAUCUAGGGGGUUAUUUGUUAAUUCCAUUUUCUAUUAUAGGAAGUAUCCCCAUUUCAGAUAUGAUCCCAUUAACUAUUAUGAAUCUCUGGAUGUUCUCAUGAUCUGUUUAUCAUGUGAUGAGAGAUUAGUUUUAUUUGAUUUAUUGAUCGCAAAAUUAAUAAUUACUUUUUCUCCAUCUUAAUUAUUCAACUUCUUUUUUGUUUUUACGUCGAUCGGGCCAUAUAGUUAUAUCAGAUAUAAGCAAUUAUUACAUGUAUCUUAUCUUUUCUUUAGUAUGGUGCCGACACAGCCUCUGGAGUAGAGUGUUAGCAAUUCUCAGCAUCAUGUUUGGUUAUUUCAUGACAAUUUGGACCAAAUAAUUCGAAUCAUUAAUAAUAAUAUAUCAACCAAGAACAUAUCUUUUUCAUUUUGUUGUAUUAAUAGUAUAUAUUAUUGUAGUAGAUAGUACUGCAUGAAUGGUAGGAUCACCAAAGUUAGCUGUCCACAUGGCCAUUAAUCAUUCAUCUCCAAAAAAAUAAGACAUUAAUUAAUAUGCGAUAUAACUUCAUUAAUCAACUAACCACAACUCUUAGGUAAAUAAUUAAAGAAACAAAUGCACAUGCAACCAUGGUUGUUGCACGUCAUGAUAAUAUCGAUAUAUAUAUAUAUAUAUAUAUAUAUAUAUAUAUAUAUAUAUAUAUAUAUAUAUAUAUAUAUAUAUAUCACCAAGCCUGUAUAUAUAUGCGUACUCUCCAUUGAGAAAGACAUCAUCGGAGAUUUCGAAAACUAUUUCUUCUAUCUUCAUAUUUUUUUUAUCUCUUUCUUGAAAUAUAUAUAUAUAUACACAGGUACCCUUUUCUAAUAAUAAAUGGCCAAUUUUUCGACAGCAAAUGAAACCAACUUUUCGAGUUACGAUGAUUUGAAUGAGGUAGAGCUCUUAGAAUAUAUCGACAGCUGUUCACUACUUGUUAUGUCUUUACUCCAACAAGACGACGAUGAUUCAAAAGUCGAAGAUGUUAAUAAUGGAUCUGAUGAUCAAAGGUUGGAUAAUAUUGUGGAUCAAGAAUAUUCCUGCAGUUCUCAUGAGACUUGCAGUACUUCAUCAGACGACGAAUAUUCAGAAGAUUCUCUAUUUUCGCAAAUGGAAAGCUGCUCCAUGUCACCAGAUGAUCAUGGAUUUGAAUGGAUGGAUAUCGAGAUGAAUUACUUUAUCGAUAAUCAUCAUUUCACAGACGAGAUUGAAAC